AUACAUAUGAAAAGAGAGAGAGGAAGAGAGAGAGAGAGAGAAUUAGAGAGAAAGACAAGGACAAGAAAGAAGAAGAAGAAGUACUGUCUCUUUAUAUUUCAAUUUUUGCUAGUUUUUCCGUCACUUUUUCCUCCUCUUCUUUUUCCUC
rnacentral:RNase_P_RNA from 12 species